rnacentral:ncRNA from 1 species
CCGCGUCUGCCAUAUGCCGUCGGUCCCGGUGGACUGACAUUUAAGGGAAUCCGGUGAGAACCCGGAGCUGCCCCGCAGCGGUAUCGGAGAGUCACGUAGCGUUUCGCUUUCGUCAUCGAAGGCGAAAACCCGCCGCGUGAGAUCUCCGGAGUCCGAAGACCUGGUGAUGGCCCGAGCCCACG